rnacentral:rRNA from 1 species
GCGGCCGAUUAGGUAGUUGUUGAGGUAACUACUCAACAAGCCAAUUAUCGGUAAGGGCUCUUAACGGAGAGGCCCUGAGAGGGACUCUGAGACACUAGUCCCAGCACUAUGGUGUGCAGCAGGCGGGAAAAUUCUCCAAUGUUCGAAAGAAUGAGAGAGGAAUCCAAAGUGCUUCUCAAUUUGAGAGGCUUUUGUCUACUUUAAAAAGGUGGGCGAAUAAGGACUGGGCAAGACUGGUGCCAGCCGCCGCGGUAAUCCCAGCAGUCCGAGUCGUGGCCACAUUUAUUAGGUCUAAAACAUUCGUAGCUGGCUUUGUAAGUUCUUUGUGAAAUUGUUGCACUUAAUGCAACAGCGUGCAAGGGAGACUGCAAGACUAGAGACCGGGAGACGUAAGGAGUACAUUCAAGGUAGCGGUAAAAUGUUUUAAUCUUGGAUGGACUGACAAUGGCGAAGGCACCUUACGAGAACGGAUCUGACAGUGAGGAAUGAAGGCCCGGGGCGCAAAAUGGAUUAGAUACCCAUGUAGUCCGGGC